UACGUAGGGGGCAAGCGUUGUCCGGAUUUAUUGGGCGUAAAGAGCUCGUAGGCGGCUCGUUGCGUCGGCUGUGAAAACCCGCAGCUCAACUGUGGGCUUGCAGCCGAUGCGGGCGGGCUAGGAUUCGGUGAGGGGAGACUGGAAUUCCUGGUGUAGCGGUGAAAUGCGCAGAUAUCAGGAGGAACACCGAUGGCGAAGGCAGGUCUCUGGGCCGAUACUGACGCUGAGGAGCGAAAGCGUGGGGAGCGAACAGG
rnacentral:rRNA from 1 species